AACGAACGCUGGCGGCAUGCCUAACACAUGCAAGUCGAACGAGACCUUCGGGUCUAGUGGCGCACGGGUGCGUAACGCGUGGGAACCUGCCCUUAGGUUCGGAAUAACUCCCCGAAAGGGGUGCUAAUACCGGAUAAUGUCUUCGGACCAAAGGUUUAUCGCCUUUGGAUGGGCCCGCGUUGGAUUAGCUAGUUGGUAGGGUAAAAGCCUACCAAGGCGAGGUUCCAUAGCUGUUCUGAGAGGAUGAUCAGCCACACUGGGACUGAGACACGGCCCAGAAUCCUACGGGAGGGAGGAGUGGGGAAUAUUGGACAAUGGGGGAAAGCCUGAUCCAGCAAUGCCGGGUGAGUGAUGAAGGACUUAGGGUUGUAAAGCUCUUUUACCCGGGAUGAUAAUGACAGUACCGGGAGAAUAAGCACCGGCUAACUCCGUG
rnacentral:rRNA from 1 species